rnacentral:rRNA from 1 species
AACGAACGCUGGCGGCAGGCCUAACACAUGCAAGUCGAGCGCGCCCUUCGGGGUGAGCGGCGGACGGGUGAGUAACGCGUGGGAACGUGCCCUUUUCUACGGAAUAGCCUCGGGAAACUGAGAGUAAUACCGUAUACGCCCUUUGGGGGAAAGAUUUAUCGGAAAAGGAUCGGCCCGCGUUGGAUUAGGUAGUUGGUGGGGUAAUGGCCUACCAAGCCGGCGAUCCAUAGCUGGUUUGAGAGGAUGAUCAGCCACACUGGGACUGAGACACGGCCCAGACUCCUACGGGAGGCAGCAGUGGGGAAUCUUAGACAAUGGGGGCAACCCUGAUCUAGCCAUGCCGCGUGAGUGAUGAAGGCCUUAGGGUUGUAAAGCUCUUUCAGCUGGGAAGAUAAUGACGGUACCAGCAGAAGAAGCCCCGGCUAACUCCGUG